CCGCUGAGCUCAGCCUGACGUCAAAGGCGCUCCGGGCUGUCAGCUGCAGCUCGCCCGAGCCGCGCUGACGAGGCAGCCGCCCUUAAAGGGGGUCGGUGGCGGCGGCGGCGGGUGGACCCCACCGGCGGGAGGCUCUUUGGAGCUGGCCCCGGGCCAGGUGGGACCCUGCCAGUGCCAUAGCCGAGCAACGGCCUCGAUUUCCCUGCCUGUGUCUCCUGUCCUAGCGCUGGAGCCAAUGCACCGUCUCCUUUGGGAGAGGGGAGGGAUGGGAAGAGUCGAGAUGGGAGCUGCCUCUGGAUCCCCUGUGGCAGGGGGUGAUCCUGUGGCAUCUCAGCCCCGAGGAGCUUCCUGGGUUGGGGGAAAGACGAGGUGCUGCCCCACCGCCUUGCUCCUGGCUAACCAGCACCAGUUCUUCAGUGGCAAGCUUUAUGUCCUUCUCUAGUAGCUAAAGCUGCCAGUUGAAGAACUGUUGAAUGUAGCCACUCUCUUCUCAUCCCUGGGACCUUGGAUGUGAGCUGGAGUCGUGCCCCGAGCGACUGGGAUGAGCCAGUCUGCAGCAUCCUGUGGAUCUGAGGGCUGAGGAUGAGCCUGAGUGGGAUGGAGAAGCCUCCAGACAGAGCCCUGGCUGGGGCAUUGCCAGGUCACCCUGCUCGUGGGGUGGCACUUUGCUGAGAGAGACAACUAGACCAACAGAGGCAUUAAACUUUGUUUUGCUCAACA